rnacentral:ncRNA from 2 species
CUGCAACACUCUGGAGAGCGCAGUCGUUUGCGACUGCCACCGAAGGGGCAGCGGCUGCCGGUUGCGUGAUCGGCCGACCGUAAUCUCUCAGGUACCAAGGACAGAGGGGUGAGG